GGAUGUGAGGGUGACCUGGCUGCAACUUCUGUCACCCCAUUGAUUGCCAGGGUUGAUUCAGCUGAUCUGGCUGGCUAGGCAGGUGUCCUCUUACUCCCUCCCUGCUCCACGUGCCUCCCUCCUGAAGCUGCAUGCUGGGUGGAAGAGGACAACCUUGCCAGAUAAAAGAGGACCAUUCUUCAGUCCGGGGUAUAAGAGUAGCUGUGCUUCCCUGCUAGAAUCUCCAAACAAGAACACGGCUCCAAGUUUGAGACUGGACAGAUUGAGGCAAAGAGGUGUCCAGAGACAAAAUCAAGCUUU
rnacentral:snRNA from 1 species